rnacentral:rRNA from 1 species
AGUCGAACGCGAAAGGGGGCAACCCUGAGUAGAGUGGCGAACGGGUGAGUAACACGUGGGUGAUCUACCUUCGAGUGGGGGAUAACGUCCCGAAAGGGACGCUAAUACCGCAUGACGUUCUGGGUUUAAAGACCUGGAAACCAAAGCCGGGGACCGCAAGGCCUGGCGCUUGAAGAGGAGCCCGCGUCCGAUUAGCUAGUUGGCGGGGUAACGGCCCACCAAGGCGACGAUCGGUAGCCGGCCUGAGAGGGCGGACGGCCACACUGGAACUGAGACACGGUCCAGACUCCUACGGGAGGCAGCAGUGGGGAAUUGUUCACAAUGGGCGCAAGCCUGAUGACGCAACGCCGCGUGGGGGAUGAAGGUCUUCGGAUUGUAAACCCCUGUCGAAUGGGACGAAAGGCCCGGGUUCUAAUCAGCCCGGGAGUGACGGUACCGUUAAAGGAAGCCACGGCUAACUCUGUGCCAGCAGCCGCGGUAAUACAGAGGUGGCAAGCGUUGUUCGGAAUUACUGGGCGUAAAGGGCGAGUAGGCGGCUUUUUAAGUCAGACGUGAAAUCCCCCGGCUUAACCUGGGAACUGCGUCUGAUACUGGAUGGCUAGAGUAUGGGAGAGGGAUGUGGAAUUCCAGGUGUAGCGGUGAAAUGCGUAGAUAUCUGGAGGAACACCGGUGGCGAAGGCGGCAUCCUGGACCAUUACUGACGCUGAACCGCGAAAGCUAGGGGAGCAAACGGGAUUAGAUACCCC